rnacentral:lncRNA from 1 species
AUCCACUCAGCGGCACAGACUCCCGAAAGUGUCGCUCCAGUCCGAGUUGGCUCCUGUCCCUUGUCCACAUAGACCGUCUCCCCGCUCCCCCAAUAUGGCACAAGGUGCCUAGGCCGUGUGGGGCGUCGGCAGAUGGAAACUUGACCCAGAAUGGACAAGUGAUUCUCCAGGUCCAGGACUAAAACAUGGGCCUCUCAACAUCUCAGCAGGCAGGUGGAAGAGAUGGAGCAAACUCACUUGGAGCAAAGAUGGGCAGGAGGGGAACAGCGAAGCCCAGGCCAACGGCACCACAGGGCCCCUGGCAGAACAUGGACAGAGACAGUGUGAUUCCAGGGCUCUGUUCCCUUGCUGCUGCCUCCAUGGGCCCCGUACAUGUGCUCAUGAUUCUUAGACACAAACAAAGCUCCCAACACAGUGAUGGAAAUGCAGCUGCCAAGGGGGAUUGCCAAGGAAACCAUCUUUGAAAGGCUCAUUAUUCUUAUGAAGAAUCUGCAGGAGACAGGAGUUCUCAAAACAACUCUCGCUCCGCCUCUAUCCUCAACCGGACUCUGUGGGAGUGUCUCUUUUAGUAAUUAUCCUGUUCUUUGGUAAUUAUCUGCCUCUCCUGCUAGCCUGUGGGACUGUGUUUUCUUCAUCUUUGCAUCAUGAGUAUCUAGCACAGGGUCUGGCUCAUUGUAGUACCUGGCAGAUAUUGGUGGGAAAAACACAUGGCUGGUGUAGCUUCUUCUCUUUAUUCACUUUUAAUUUUUUUCUCUUUUAUCCAUUCACUGAACAAAUCUACUGAGACCCUGCUCUGUGUCAGGCCCUCACUGGGGACACAGAAGUGAAUGAGAGCCAAGCCCUGACUUGGGGGAAGGAGCUCCUAGAGUGAGGCAGGAGACAGACCUGUAAACACACACCACAAACAUGACGCCACCACCUGGGUACAGGCACCACCUCCAAGCUGGGCCCUAAGCCUUAUCGGCCUGUGUCUCUUCAAACCAGAGAGGCUCAAAGAUCUUAUUAGGGGCCAAGCUGUCACUUUGUUGGAGAAGUCUUCCCUCUCUAUUCCAUAAAAGCAAAACUCCAGAAGCCAAAUCAAAGGUGCCCAGGGCUGGAAGGAUAGACUGCUGGGCCAUGGGUCUCCUGAGCCUCUGCUGCAAUCUCCCUGGCAGGUGGCUGCCCAGCCGCUGCUCGCACUGCCUGGGGUGGGCUGCACAUGCCCGGUGAGGCAGCCUCCUCCUCAGUGGCCACUGGUUAGACCUGAGCAGAAGCUUGCAUUGCAGUCAGCUCCACUCCUUCCUAUCUCUGCACUGAUCCCUGUUUUGCACUCCAGGGCCACCCUUUUAGUGAAUGCCCUGCUGGCUGCCCCAGGACAGUCUUUCAGGUAUUUGAAGGGGGCAGCAACUGGGUCUGUAUCCCUGGCUUCUCCAAGUAACACAAGCCCCACAACAGUUCAGACUUGGUUCCCAGAGCCCUCACAUUCCAACUGCCCUCCUUACAAUGUGUCUCAGUUGGCUCUGUCCCUUGGACAGUGUAACUCCAGAACUAAAGGCCACAUUGUAGGUUGGUCUCCACACAGGACACACCUCCUCUGCCCUGGAGUCUAUACCUCCAAUGAUCAGCCCAAGCAGCUCUAGCUUUAUCAGUGCUGGCUGCCCAAACACCACCCCUCGCCAUCCACUUAGCAACCUCUACUCCGUAACUGAAGAAUCUUCCUCAGUGAAAAAACCUCUGAGCCUCUACUUCCUUUUUCUGUGUUCCCACAGUGCCCCCACCCCCACCCCCACCUUGGCAGCAGCCCUAUCAGAUCAGCUUCAAUAGUUUUGUAUCUGCCUCUCUAGACUGGGCACUUUCAGGCCAGGGACCAUGCCUGCUUCAUCUCUCUUUCCCUCUCUCCCUCCCCUCCUCUCCUCUCUCUCUUCCCUGCCUCUUGCCUCCUUCCGUACUUCCACAAACAUUUACUAAAUGCCUACUAUGUGCCAGGCCAUAGGGAUCACUAGCAUAGGGCUGGCACAUGGUAGGAGGCCUACUUUCUCAAUGAGGAGUUUUAAAAUAGCUCAUACAAGAUCAAAUUCUAACAACCGCAUUUACAUGACAUGAAAAUGUUUUCCUAUUUUUAACUUAGCACCUUUUUUGGCCCUCCAAAUGAUAACAUCUCUUUAAGGUUUCUGAGAUAACUUUACAUACAAGGCAUUUGAUUCUCACAACAAUGGUGUCAGCCAGGCAGACAGAAAGCCCUCUCCUCACCUUCCAGAAGCGAAAACGCGGUGCAGAAAGCUGAAGUAAGUUGCCCAAAGUCACACAGUGAGUUCGGGCAAAGUCAGGACCUUAAUGGAGGAGCUCUUUCCUCUCUAUAGUAUCCCUCCUUGUGGAAUAUACAGAUAUAGAGAUUCCAAAUUUGUCUGUAGAUGCCUGGACUGGGCUCGGCUUGAGAUGACUCUGACUGGCUCUGGCUGGAGCCAAUGACUUCUGCAGGUUCCAGCUCAGAGCUCCCAACUGCAUCUCCUUAGAGAGUUGCCCCUCUGGGCCCAGGCCCCCAACAACCUGGCUGGCUACUCCCACUGCACAGCUCCCCCUACCCACCAGGUUUACUUCCUAGCAUUCAGCCGACCCUGAAAAAGAAGACCUUAGCCCCAGAAAGCAGUGGCAUCCUGCCUAAGAGUGCCCAUCCACAUUCACACCUGGAAGCCCUACCUGUGCAGCUGCCAAUCAGUCUACCAGCCCAGGGCCACACUGAGUCCGCCAGAUGUGGCUCAUCACACAGAAACACCAGCUAGGACCACAGUUAGGAGAAAUGCUGCCUCCACAAGACUUAAUUCUGGGUCAGGGGUGGAGGGAGUGAACUGUGUAGAUCAAACUCAGCUUCUCUGACCUUCUUGUGACUCAUUUUCCAUAGACGAGAGUAUGGAGAGUCAUUGAACGUUUCAGAGCAAGCGAGGGACAGAGGAGGAGGCUGCUGUUUCAGGCGAUGCACAUCUCUGCAACAGGAAUCCUACAGAUAGUCCCAAGUGCUGGACAAGGAAUGGGUUUUAGGGUCACCCAAACCUGGGUUCACAUCCUGGCUCACCACUUACAAGUUGUGUGACUUUGUUCCUUAAUCACCGAGUUCUGAUUUGUUUAUCUGUAAAUGGGAGUGACACCUGCAGACUCUAACCUUACUGUGAGGAUUAAAUGAGACGAAGUGUGUAAAGGCCAAGUAAAGGUUCAUUCCCUCCCCCUAGGCUGUGGCAACUCUGCAUUUUACAAAAGUCGAAUCAAGAUCUGGGGCCAGCCCCUAGUUCAGGUCUUUCCCUGCCACUCUGGGUUCCCUCCAGGCAGACAUGUUCUUCUGAAAUACAGGGAAAUGGUUGCACUUAGGUGGGUAAGUGGCUAGGUGGUUAUGUUUUCUUUGUGGUUAUUUACCUAUUUAUUUUUGCCAAUGUUAAAUACUUUUUCUAGAUUUGGCCUGCUAGGGAGAACUAAAUAAAUUUCCAAUUGUAUGAGAAAUAUUUUUAAAGGCAUUCUCGAUUGUUUUAGCACCAAGAAGGCAAAGUCAAAGGCACAGCAGAUUGUCCCAGUGGGCUGCCAGGAAUCUAAUAAUUCUGCUAAUGACCCUUUUUAAAAUGUAAAGUGUUGGACUAAGGCAGCGCUCAAUUCUUGUCUAACACUAUGCUCCUGGGAACUUGCAAAUCAUCAUUGUCUUCCCCCAACCCCCAUCUAAAGCAAAGGAUCGGAUCUUGAGCAAUUAAUCAAAAUUGGUUUCCUGCAUCCAGAGGGGAUCACUCCAAAUGAAUGUGGAAUUGCAGAGAUGGAUCUGCACCAGCUGAUUUAUAGGGUGUGCUUAGAGAGCAGGGGCCAGAUGAAAGGCUGGGGGACGGGAAGAGGCAGCAAGAGCCAACACUAGAUGGCGUUAAUCUCAGGCCAUUGUGUGGCAGGAGUGGAUUCACCUUGUGUAGCUCCAGCUGCCAUACUGUUAGGGACCAGGGGCAGUAAUUAACUGGGAAGCUGUGGUCAGCAAAACUACCCAUAACAUGAGCUAUUGGCGAGGGCAUUGCACACUCCAGUUUGCAGAGGACUUUUGCAUGCCUCCCCAUGGGGCCCUCACCGCAGGCCUGGGAAUCAGGUAUCCCUUGCUUUCAGAGCUCUUGCCACCUGCUAUCCUGAACUCUGAAAACAAACAGGUCGAAAUAAAUAAAAUUAUCCCUUGCUGGCCAAAUUCUUGCUUCCUGAAUUGGGAACCAAAUAUAUUCGAAGAGUGAUCGAUAUUUGUAUUAUUGUUAUCUAUUGGAGGCUUAAAGAAAUUAAGAGACUCAGUUAAGGUCACACAGCUAGUAAAUAGUAGAGCUUGGAUUUAGA